UUUGUUGGCACAGACCACUGAGUUGAUCUGGGUGUCAAACCUCUGGUGCGUUCACACUGAACACAAUCAGAAAAACAGCUUUGUGAAGACGCCACAGCAGCUGAACGAGGUUAAAACCCCUGGUUAGUUAAUUUGUCCAGGUUGAAGUCCCAACAAGACCUCGCUCUCUUUACUUGACCUGUUCCUUUUUAUCCACUUUGUACGUCGGCUGUGGCUCACGGCCGUGCCGUGCUCAGUGUGGACGCCCAGCACUGAUUUCCCAGCAGUGAUUCAUCUUUAACUCAUCCUCCCAAUUGAUCCUAUUCAGUCAAACGGCCUCUGAUUGGUUGAUUCGAGCACAUGUACUUUAGCUUGUGUAAAGACUUUGUUGAGAAUGUUACGUGUAGGGCUUUUUAUCAAUGCAAAAACCAAUAGUGAAAUGUUAAUAAAUGUAACAGGUACUGAGAUAUGUACUACUAGGAUAUCGGUACUUGUGUUUUGUAUCAUGUACUCCAUACCCAGCCCCAAUAUGGCUAAAGGUGAGCUGCAUUUAGCAUAGCAGAGUAAAUAUCACAUCCCCGGGUUAGAGCUGAUCAGUGACGAUUUGUUACAGAAAAUUAUUCAAUUAGUUCGAUUCCAGAAAAAUCCAGGCUUUAUUCAAGGCUAGUUGACGGCUGUAAAAAUUAGAAAUUUAGGGAAAAGGUCUUCUUUUAGUGCAAGCAUAUAAAGAAAAUUUAAAUGAUUAGGUUAAAAAAGAAGUGAUGACCAACCUAUAAAACAUUUUCUGUUUUUUAACAGUUUCCAAAAGACGCAUUUACUGUCAUUUUUUUAUUUCUAACAUCAUUGGGACUUCCAUCCAUGCACCUCCUUCAGUCAUUUAUAAUCUUCUAUUUUCCUCUCAGUGGAAUCAUAAUGUACCAAAGUGGAGUGAACCUGAAGUCAUGAAGAACACAGUCAAAAAUAGAACUUCAAUCGGAUCUACUUGACUUUUUGCAGCCCUUCGUCUCCAUUCAGUUUUUAAACGCGCUCAGUGGUUUGGUUCUGAAACACUGCAGUCGAUCUCUUACUGCCGCAGGCUGAGUUUUCAACAAUAUGGUGCAAUUUAACUUGAUUAUUAUUGUUGCUGUUGUUGUUGGGUACAUUGUUAUUAUAAUUAUGGUUAUUGUUAUUAUUGUUCUCCUGCUCUACCUUCUAUUUGCUCUUUGUUUUUUUGUACAUUGUCAUUGGGAGUCCUGCUGGACAGAGGCAAAUACAUGACAAUGGUGGAAAUAAAAUUCCCAUUUACGUUCGGCAUGAGGUGAAUCAGACUCAAGUCCAACAGAAAAGAGAAACACAAAACCCUAAUGUUAUUUAUGAAUUUAACCACAGUGGUGCUCAAUGUUUUUCUCUCAUUUCUUUUUUUUUUACUAAGUCAAAUUCAAGGUGAAUUGAUUUUGUUUGUAACAAUGAUAAUGGUAAUGAUAUUUAUAAUGAUGAUCAUAUCAAUAAAGUGGAAUGAGAUUUUUU